UGGCUACGCGUCACGCGUCUGCGAGGCCGUACGCGCCUGUCCUACGCGUCUAGAGAGGGCAGACGCGCAGGAAACGCGCGCGUCAAGGAUGUCUUGAUCUUGGGCGUCAUUUUGAGCGUACGCGACGGAAGUGGCAGCUUGUGCACCGACGUCACGUGGGCCGCAUGUACACUUCCGGCGGUUCGGAAAGGUUGUUGAAGUUUCAGAAUCGUGCGGAGACGCCAGGAGUCUGGUAGCACAGAUGCUAUGGAGGCGAUCAACAACGAAGCGCAGAUCGCCUGCGUUGAGGCUCGACCUGCGAAUUGGUAGCCGGCGAAACACAAGCGCCACAAGAACAAGCACAUGACGAGGUGGUCGUGGAUCGUCAUGCCCAACGCUGCCCAACAGAUGACGUUAUCACAGCGCUGCAGAAGCAGAAGUCCGUGGGGAAUAAAUUUCGGCGCCUGGGAAGACGUUUCAGAAAGAGAAGAGCCGCGCCGUGCCAGACGACGUUCAGGACGACGUCAUCUGGCUGUUUUUCGACCAGAUGACGUUCCUGCGCCACUCAGUGGAGUGUAGACUGAUGUCCGCCAACCUUCCACCAGUGCCCUCAUAGAGUGAGGAGGGAAGUGCUGCAGACAUCCUAACGAAAAAUGUGCAAGUUUUCCGAUCUGGCAACACUUGGAAGUGUCAUCACCGUCAAGUGAAGAGUCACAAGCACCAGCAUCAACUCUGUCUUCGGUGUCGCAUGAGUCUGUGGAGUCUCAGGACAUUUUGGAAUCUCUUCAAUCACCGAUGUUUCAAGAAGUUCUGGUUCCUGAGGUUUCUGAGGCACGCCACAGCAGGCCGCAGUCACAAGCAUCACUGGCUUCAGCAAG